rnacentral:rRNA from 1 species
UUCGGGUAGUUAGUGGCGCACGGGUGCGUAACGCGUGGGAAUCUGCCCCUUGGUUCGGAAUAACAGUUGGAAACGACUGCUAAUACCGGAUGAUGACGUAAGUCCAAAGAUUUAUCGCCGAGGGAUGAGCCCGCGUAGGAUUAGGUAGUUGGUGUGGUAAAGGCGCACCAAGCCGACGAUCCUUAGCUGGUCUGAGAGGAUGAUCAGCCACACUGGGACUGAGACACGGCCCAGACUCCUACGGGAGGCAGCAGUGGGGAAUAUUGGACAAUGGGCGAAAGCCUGAUCCAGCAAUGCCGCGUGAGUGAUGAAGGCCUUAGGGUUGUAAAGCUCUUUUACCCGGGAUGAUAAUGACAGUACCGGGAGAAUAAGCUCCGGCUAACUCCGUGCCAGCAGCCGCGGUAAUACGGAGGGAGCUAGCGUUAUUCGGAAUUACUGGGCGUAAAGCGCACGUAGGCGGCUUUGUAAGUAAGAGGUGAAAGCCCAGAGCUCAACUCUGGAAUUGCCUUUUAGACUGCAUCGCUUGAAUCAUGGAGAGGUCAGUGGAAUUCCGAGUGUAGAGGUGAAAUUCGUAGAUAUUCGGAAGAACACCAGUGGCGAAGGCGGCUGACUGGACAUGUAUUGACGCUGAG